rnacentral:rRNA from 1 species
UGAGGAAUAUUGGUCAAUGGACGGAAGUCUGAACCAGCCAAGUAGCGUGCAGGAUGACGGCCCUAUGGGUUGUAAACUGCUUUUAUGUGGGGAUAAAGUGAGGGACGUGUCCCUUAUUGCAGGUACCACAUGAAUAAGGACCGGCUAAUUCCGUGCCAGCAGCCGCGGUAAUACGGAAGGUCCGGGCGUUAUCCGGAUUUAUUGGGUUUAAAGGGAGCGUAGGCCGUUUGUUAAGCGUGUUGUGAAAUGUCGGGGCUCAACCUGGGCAUUGCAGCGCGAACUGGCAGACUUGAGUGCGCGGGAAGUAGGCGGAAUUCGUCGUGUAGCGGUGAAAUGCUUAGAUAUGACGAAGAACUCCGAUUGCGAAGGCAGCCUGCUGUAGCGUAACUGACGCUGAAGCUCGAAAGCGUGGGUAUCGAACA